rnacentral:lncRNA from 1 species
GACUGGACAACAGUGAAAUAAAUUUCAUUUUAAAUUGAAUUGUUAUUCUAAUUUGUAUUUAGUAGGGAUUUAUAAAGUAACUUGAUUUAUUAUUUAUUCCAUAUAGUAUAUUUAUUCAGUUAUAUACAGUCCAAGUGUACCUCUCGAGACGGUCUUCCGAGCAUUUGGGUUUGGACACAGGUUUCCAAAAUUUUCCACUUUAUUUAAAAUGUAGUCUUUUGACUGCAGUUUAAAUGGAGUUUGAACCGAGGUAACUCGUUUUUGUUGGUUUUUCCUGGCC